UUUACCUCAUCCAACCCCUAUCACUCCUAGUCCCUAUACCCCUCCCCACAUUUUUUUUGAUAUCCUAGGUCAAAUCUCAGGGUCAAUUUAAAACGGUCAUCAAAAUCUUGUCCUAGUUUGAAUUUGGGGAUCGAGUCCAACAUCAUUAUUGGCGUUAAUUUUCAAAUUACAAAUUAUUUUUCUAAAAAGAAUUUUAGUCUCAAACUAAAAAUAAAAGAUAAUCUAGCGCAAGCCAAAAGAGUAAAAUUGGGCCUUUGAAAGUUGGGCACAAAUGUUUGUUUAAGUGAGGUUUGAGUGCUCAAGAUCACAUCGACAUGAUUCUGCAACAAUGGCGAUUGGCGGGAGGUUUUAAUAUGGUGAAAAUGAACGGGUCUGUAAACGGGUCAAAAAGACCCGCUAAUGGUAGAAGACUAUCUUCUGGUCUUCUGUCAAAAUAACUCCACUUUUUCAUCGUGGCUGCAUACCAUUUGGAAGCUCCCAAUCAAAGCAAUGCACCAGUUGUGCCACUGUAAAUUGGACAAGGACAAUUGCCAACUGCAUUGCAGGACAACUUCUUCUACCCGAGCCAAAUGGUAAA